GUUUCUCCAAGAGCAAGAGAGUGAAAGAGAGAGAGCUAUGGGUUUUCAAGCACAAUUGUGUUUCUUCGUCUUGCUAACCUUUUCCAUAACGUGCCUUGCUCGCAAAAUUCCUUAUGGAAAUGAAAGGACUUUAGCAAGUGGGGACUUUGAUCAAAUGCCAAAGGCGCGUCCUUUUCCCCCUCCUCCUGCCAAGGACUUUGAUAAUAAUCCAAGGGUGCUUCCUUUUCCCCCUCCUCCUGUAACAAAUGUGGCCACUUUACUUUCAGAAAACGAGAGGAGUUUGUUCAAUGUAGACUACGAAGGCCCCCAUACGCAUCCUUCACGGCCACCUCAUAAUUAAUCUGAUGAAUGUGCCCCCCUUCACUUUGAAGAAAUUAAUGAAGGGAGGACAAUGAAUAAUGAUCCCCUUCCUCCCAAAAGAGGGUGGCAGCAUUGGCCAACAAGACUCAGAUAUUCACUUGUCAACUAAAAGUACAUACCCAUAGAUGAUGCACACUUGUGUUCUGGGUCUAGUCUCUUUUGAAUAAGUUGAUGAGUUAAGGUGAUGUAAGGAUACUUAUUAUAAUUAAUCAAUG